UACGUAGGGGGCAAGCGUUGUCCGGAUUUAUUGGGCGUAAAGAGCGUGUAGGCGGCCAGGUAGGUCUGCUGUGAAAACUCGAGGCUUAACCUCGAGCUGUCGGCGGAAACCAUCUGGCUAGAGUCCGGAAGAGGAGAAUGGAAUUCCCGGUGUAGCGGUGAAAUGCGCAGAUAUCUGGAGGAACACCGGUGGCGAAGGCGGCAUCCUGGACCGGCAUUGACGCUGAGGCGCGAAAGCUAGGGGAGCAAACGGG
rnacentral:rRNA from 1 species